AAGGAUUGUUUCGAUCCAAUUGACUCAAGGACUUCCACGAGGACUUAAAGACAUGUAAAAAGGCUUAUAAAAGGAGGGGAAUAACAAGGAUUAGAGGGCAUGUCAGGAGAUUAGGAGAAAUUAGAGAGAACAUUUCAUUAGAUUAGAUUAGAGUAAAUUAGAUCAAAACACUAUUUCUAAAUAGUUUUGGAGAUUGAAG
rnacentral:lncRNA from 1 species